rnacentral:rRNA from 1 species
AACGAACGCUGGCGGCAUGCCUAACACAUGCAAGUCGAACGAGACCUUCGGGUCUAGUGGCGCACGGGUGAGUAACGCGUGGGAACCUGCCCUUAGGUUCGGAAUAACUCCCCGAAAGGGGUGCUAAUACCGGAUAAUGUCUUCGGACCAAAGAUUUAUCGCCUUUGGAUGGGCCCGCGUUGGAUUAGCUAGUUGGUAGGGUAAAAGCCUACCAAGGCGACGAUCCAUAGCUGGUUUGAGAGGAUGAUCAGCCACACUGCGACUGAGAAACGGCCCAGACUCAUACGGGAGGCAGCAGGAGGGAAUCUUCCGCAAUGGGCCAAAGCCGGAUGGAGACAUGUCGCUUGAGUGAAGAAGGUCUUCGGGUCGUAAACCUCUGUUGUUAGGGAAGAAAAAAUGCGCAAGUACAUACCCACGUCCUGACGGGACCUAAAUAGUAAGAAACGGCUAACCUCGUG